UAGAUUUCGCGAUUGUGUUUAUUAUUUUCAUCCUAUCAAGUCCCGUGUUUGCACGCGCUCCAUACAACACAGCAAACUGCAGGAAUGGUAAAAGAGAGGUAAACAUUUCGGAAUCUAGGAAAGAGUACGCAAAAUGAUCCUUAUAGUAGGUAUUAUUACUUUCCGGGGGUUACUGGUCUCAACGGGGAAGUACUGUUCUACAAGAGGCUUGAUGGCUCUCGAAAUUUCUUCCUCUGAAGGGUAACACGAUACUUCAAUUGGUAGAAGUCUUAGGAUGAACCUAAGCAACACAAGUUAUAUUAACAAUGAACCCAAUAAUGAGAUAAUAGUAAUAGAAUUCUUGGUAUGAUGGAGUUUUUUGAGUAAGAUCAAACCUUGACAUAUGCUUUUUUGUUGCAGCAGCAGAUGUCAUUGCAUGCUGUGCAAUAUCUUUGGGACUAGGGUCACCAUCUCUCCUUUUCAUUUGGAUGAAUACCAGACCGUUGCAACCCGGAUCUAACUUCAUAAACCGUCUCUGCCAAAAAUGGAUAAC
rnacentral:lncRNA from 1 species